GAAGAAAACGUAUUUCCUUUAAAGAAAUUUCAGACCUUUGCUUCUCCUCAUGUAAAUCCUUGUCAGAAAUGUCCCAGGAACUGCUGUUCCCAGUAACAAGCAGCAUCCACGCCAGAUGACAGAAGACCCAGAAGUCUUCACAGACAGGCUGAUGCUGCACACUCCAUCUGAUCCUCUGUGAAAUAUCAGCCUGGAGUUCCACGGGCACCCUUUCAGCAGCCAGCCUCGACUCUUGCCUUAAGCGCACACACUCAAUUAUUUAGCAAGGAAAAUGGGCUCCUGUAACUAAUAAAACAUCUGAUUUAGCCCCCUAAUCCCAUUCUAACAUCUUUAAACCAGUGCCAACACAGGUGAGACCUCUGGGAGAGGAAAGCUAAAUAUUGCUCUCUGCCUCGUGGCUUGCUUUCAAACGUACAUUUCAUUCCAUCUCUGUUGCUCAGAAUUAAUGUUGCAAGGAGAGCAGCAGAGAGCUUUUCUAGGAAAGCAUGGCAAAUGCCCAGCUCCAGCAGAACCCAGCCUACCACUGUGCAGAUCUGCUGUACCACGGGUAAUUCAUCCCGCAUGGCAAAGACCUGCUUUUCUGAAAUGCUCAGCUGUUAGCAAGCUGAGGGAACCAACCCACGGGUCAAAGCUCUCGGAGCAAAUCUUCCUGCCUUGUUUGUCAGGUUUUUAAGAGAUAAAACCCAGCAGGUGGGAAGGAAAAGAUUGAAGGGGGCGAUUUUUCAUUCUUCCAUAAGCAAAUUCCUGGCCGCAAUCUCUGCAGCUCCUGAUGGGGUGGCCUAACGGAACUAGACAGCACAGCCCAAAAUCUUGCCUGUGUAAUUGUGUGCUUCACUGGACUGACACCAGCAAUGAAUUUAGCUCACUCGAGGCUCAGCUGGAGAUGGGGUGGCUUUGGAGAAGCUUACGCUUCAUCCCGCUGCAUCACCACCUCCUUGAUUGAACACCUUUUCUGCAGGCUCUGACAAGAGCAGAUUAUCCCAGUGAAGGCUAAGAGGUCAUGGAAAACAAGGAGCAAGUUCUGUUCAGAGCUUCUGCUUCCCAUUUGCAUCACUGUCACCAGCAACUGUGGAGCAUUUGUCUGGUCCUUCCUUGGAUUGCAGCGUAUUUCUGUUUUCUUACAGCAUAGACUCAUCCCAGUUUGUUUCUAA